AUACGUAGGGUGCAAGCGUUAAUCGGAAUUACUGGGCGUAAAGCGUGCGCAGGCGGUUUUGUAAGGCAGUGGUGAAAUCCCCGGGCUCAACCUGGGAACUGCCAUUGUGACUGCAAGGCUGGAGUGCGGCAGAGGGGGAUGGGAUUCCGCGAUUAGCAGUGAAAUGCGUAGAUAUGCGGAGGAACACCGAUGGCGAAGGCAAUCCCCUGGGCCUGCACUGACGCUCAUGCACGAAAGCGUGGGGAGCAAACAGGAUUAGAUACCCUGGUAGUCCACGCCCUAAACGAUGUCAACUGGUUGUUGGGGAUUUAUUUUCUCAGUAACGAAGCUAACGCGUGAAGUUGACCGCCUGGGGAGUACGGCCGCAAGGUUAAAACUCAAAUGAAUUGACGGGG
rnacentral:rRNA from 1 species